GUCCACCAAGCCACAUUUUCAACUUUUGACCUCGGAUCAGGUAGGGAUACCCGCUGAACUUAA
rnacentral:rRNA from 2 species